rnacentral:rRNA from 1 species
AACGAACGCUGGCGGCAUGCCUAACACAUGCAAGUCGAACGAGACCUUCGGGUCUAGUGGCGCACGGGUGCGUAACGCGUGGGAACCUGCCCUUAGGUUCGGAAUAACUCCCCGAAAGGGGUGCUAAUACCGGAUAAUGUCUUCGGACCAAAGAUUUAUCGCCUUUGGAUGGGCCCGCGUUGGAUUAGCUAGUUGGUAGGGUAAAAGCCUACCAAGGCGACGAUCCAUAGCUUGUCUGAGAGGAUGAUCAGCCACACUGGGACUGAGACACGGCCCAGACUCCUACGGGAGGCAGCAGUGGGGAAUAUUGGAAAGUGGGCGAAAGCCUGAUCCAGCAAUGCCGCGUGAGUGAUGAAGGCCUUAGGGUUGUAAAGCUCUUUUACCCGGGAUGAUAAUGACAGUACCGGGAGAAUAAGCUCCGGCUAACUCCGUG